CAGCACAAGCGUCACUGCUCUACAUGUAUUUAUAUCUCUGUGAACUGAACAUGACAUGAUCAAGAGCUCUUAUUCAUCAACCAACAAACAUGACUUUCAGCAUCAUCUUUCUUUGGACUCUGACAGUGUUUUGUCAAGAAUCCAUUGGGCAGGUGACAGUGACUCAAACUUCAUCACAGCUGCUCACUCAAACAGGACAAGAAGUCAGAAUAAAGUGUACAACUAGCAGUAAUGUUGCCUGUUGUUGUGGUGGUACUGCAUGUAUUAGCUGGUAUCUACAAAAACCCGGAGAAGUUCCUAAACUCCUUAUUUAUGGAGCAAAUCAACGACAGUCAGGAACUCCAUCUAGAUUCAGUGGCAGUGGAUCUGGCAGUGAUUUCACUCUGACCAUCAGUGGAGUCCAGACUGAAGAUACAGGAGAUUAUUACUGUCAGAGUUUACACCAGAUCAGUGGUAACUGGGUGUUCACACAGUGAUAAAGAGUCGUACAAAAACCUCCAUCAGUCAGAGUCACAGUGACUGCACUGAUACAGAUGAGAGAAACUGCAGCUGCUGAUGUAAGCAUAACAAACAAGUAACAAACUUCUAGAAAAAUUCUAAACAAAAUUCUAAUUUUAAUUAAUUGUCUUAUUAGUAUUAUUUUUAUAUGAUAUAAUUUAGAUGGAUUUUAAUUGUGCCUUCAACUAUACAGUAGAUGGACCUACAGUACUCUUUGAUCAAUGUUUUUUUGUCCCACUUUAUAUUAGGUGGCCUUAACUACUAUGUACUUACAUUUAAAUUAAUAA